UCCUUUCUCUACACAAGGACACAAUAUGGUCUUCUUCAUCUUGCUUCGACAGACCACACCCCAUCUCUCGAUAAAGUCCUUUUCUUGGCGGAAAAAAGAAGUGGGUUUUGUCUUGUAGGUGAUACUACGGCGUGCUUUUGCUAAAAUGGAGGAAGGCUGUGAUAGCAAGGCAGAAAGGUGGUACUGGAAAAGUUGAGGAGAAGAAAAUCAUAACAUCAGCAGGUGGCAACUGAUAGAAACAGAAAAUAAUGGUGGGUGAUGAGGAUGGAAGGGGUUGAUUGAGCUUGGAAUAUAGCUUAGCUUAAAGGGUCUCUCUGGUAAAGUUGAAAAGAACAGUUGCGACUUGUCAGACG
rnacentral:misc_RNA from 1 species